ensembl:lncRNA LINC01102 long intergenic non-protein coding RNA 1102
GAGUAGCUGGGAUUACAGGCACCCGCCAUCAUGUCCAGCUAAUUUUUGUAUAUUUGUAGAGACGGGGUUUCACCAUGUUGGCCAGACUGGUCUUGAACUCCUGACCUCAGGUGAUCUGCCCGCCUCAGCCUCCCAAAGUGCUAGGAUUACAAGUGUGAGCCACCACGCCCGGCCCCAAUAUUCUUUCUUACUAGACACUGUGUAAGCUAAUUAUUCAGCAAGUAUUUUGCACUGAACUCUAAAUAGGUAAGUAUUUUGUGUCCAUUUUACAGACAAGAGAAAUAAAAUAGGUAAAGUAUUUCCCCAAAGCUAUGAUAAAUGAAUCCCAUAGCUAGAAAUGGCAGAAAACCCAUGGAAACUUCUAUGGGGAGUGGAUGUCUGCCUUACCUUGGCACAAUGCUUGGUUCUCAGAUAUCAUUUCAGUGACAUUGCCAAAUGGGAGAAACCAUGUCUGGUACACGGGACUCAAGCUGCCUCAAAAUAUCCUGAAUGCAUUUUUUCAGGGGAGAAAAUCCAUUUGAAUAAGAAUAGCUAGUUAUAGCUUAUUAUGUGCCAGACACUAUUCAAAGUGUUUAAUGUGUAUUAACUUCUCAAAACCACUCUAUAAGUUAGGUACUAUGAUUUCCAUCUCCAUUUUACAGACGAGGGAACUGAGCUGUCAAAACUAAGUGACUUGAUUGAGGCCAUGCAGCUGGCGAGGGGAGGACCAGGAUCUGAACCCAACUGGGUCUCCCAAGCCUGGGCCACUGAACCAUUUCACCUCUUGGAAAAACUUAAUGGUCAGAGUGGCCCACCCAGUCCAUGGACAGCAUGGAGCCCUCUGACCAAGAAUCUGCGGAGGUCAUCCCUCACCUCCAGAGUUGGUCUUGUCCCUAGCACCCACGUGUGCUCUGUGGCUCAGAAUGGUCUACAGGAUCUUCCAAAUCCAAGCACAGGGAUAAACUGCUUCCCUAGAAAUCCUCUCCAGCAUUCUUGCCACCACGACUUUGGGACACAUUGACCAUGAGGAGGAGCUGGUCAAUGAUGGACAGGAGUCCAGAUUAGCAGAGAUGUGGUAAUAAGGACACCGAUGCCUAAAUACUUGAAAUAUCCAAUAGGAAGCAUUCCACCUUUGUGCAAAUGCGAACCACAUCUCACCAAGUUCAGGCCAAGGCUGCCACCGGUGACGUUUUGGAAAAGAAAAAAAAAAGCGGGGGGAGAGGAGAGAAACAGAGAAGCAAGGAAUGCAGAAGAGAGCAGAGGCCACAAAAACAGCAGCAACGUGUCCUGUGUAUUCUGUUUCCUUGUAAAACUAUGAAGCAUGUUAAGGAGAUACUUCAUUUUUUGAGGAUUCAUACUCUUGUUUAUAUUAUAAUAAAAACAACCCAUGUUCUUUCUAAAAAUUUAGGCAAUGCCUUCGUGCACAUAAAAGUAAAACAAAAUCACCUGUAAUCCUACCACACGCAGAUCAGCACUUGCUAAUCUUUUCACAGGGAUCCUAAGAAUAUCCUAUUCUCUAUAGAAUAUAGUUGAUUUAUGUUACCUAAUAACUAACUGUUAACCAUUUUAAAAUUCUUCAGUUUUACAUUAUGCUAGAAAAAAGGAGCCGUCACUCUACGUGACAUUUCUGUAUAUUGGUUUAUUCAUUCAAUAAACAUUUUUUAAGUACC